GUCUCCUUAUAUUUCAAUCGCAUCGCUAUAAGUGCAGUGUUAAUUUCUGCCGAUAAGUUCCACUUUGUUCUUACUGUUUGCUGCGGUGAUGACGUCACAUGCUUUUACGACGCUCCUGCCGUAUCACGAGUCCGAGGAGCACUAGCCAUGUUUUUCUCCAUGAGUGUGGGGGAAUAGCGAUCUCCAGCCGUGUGCGUUCCUGUGCAAAUAACCACACGUCUGUCCACCCCCUCCCACAUUCGUUAAGUAUGCCUACUGCUGUACUGUUGAGCUGCUAUUAACUUCCAUUAAAGUCUAUCCGGACAUCACUCUCUGUGCCCCACUCUCUGACCGGAGUUUAAGUCCUGAGGGAGCUAUCAUCCCAGCAUCCCAGAGACACUCUCUAACAGUAACAAUUCCUGGAAGAUUUUGUAAACCUUAAACCUUUGUAAAAGGUUUAACCACAGAUAUAACCACAGAUGUCUCUUUAGUUCAUAAUCUUGAGAUUCUUGAGCCAUCUCCUCAGUAGAGAAUGAAGAUGGCCAAGUCUACACUGGUGUUGUGGCGGGUGAAGUAAGGAGAGAAAAUAGCAGAGCUGGAGUUAAUCAAGUCUUCCUCAACCAACAGGAGAUGGUUUUCUUUAUGCUACCAUCCAAAAAACAUAUGGUGAUUUAGGUUAGGGGUGGGUUUCAAUAAUCGAUUUUCCAAUUAAAAUUGAUUUUAGCUUUAAGAAUGUCAUAUCAUUCAUUAAAAUUCUGUAUCGAUUUUUAAUGCAUUUUGCCAGAAAUGCCAGAAUCUCAGGUUAAAACUCACAAAACUAUUUCAACAACCACCAAACAGCUAAAACAGUAAACGAGAGCAGGUAAACGGAUUCCACAAAAAGAUGGAAACACAAAGCGUGGACCCGACAGAUCAGAAUCUGUGAGAUGUCGGCUUUCUUACCCGGCGGCAUAUGCAGACACGCCAUUGGGGCUUUUAUCAAUGACCAAAAAACACAUUGGUCAUUGAUAAAAGAUCCAAAUGCCCACAGCUGACUCUUCAGUCACAGAGGAAGAGAAUACAUUGUGUUAAAAGUUUGUGAUUUCUUUGAUAUCUGCACAAUAAAUUUUACAUUCAAAAAAAAGAUUCCCUAACUUGUUUAAAUACAGUUGUGGCAUGGCGUGGUCUGCGGUGCCAGUGCAGGGGAGGCGGACGCACCUGAAUGGCAUCCACAAUCACCCUUCACCAGUUUAAAGUCUGUGUUCUAAUGUUGGGCUGGCAGCUGUAGAGCUGCAGCCGUGUGUUUGUGACAGCAACCAUGAGAGUGUCAAUAAAGUAUGUUGAAAAGCAUGUUCAUGUACAUAUUAUCGGGUCUGCUGUGGUACGUUUACCACAGUUCAGUUCAAAUUUAUGUAACAUUAAAUCAAAAAUCUCUAUGCAAUCUCUAGGCAGUGGUUCUUGGGCAUAUGAAUGACACAGGGUGUUAUGAGGAGAAAUGCAGAAGGACAGAUGUUCAUGGAUUUUCCUAGAAGGUUGAAACUGGUUGUGAUGAACAUUUCCUUUAAGAAAAAGUUAAAUUUUUGAGCUAAACCUCUGUGAACCUAAUAUUAUUAUCUCGUAACAGAAAGUAACAGAUAGCAGUAUUUGUAUAACAGUUUGAUGGUAAAAAAAAAAAUGUGAAAAAUAUGAAAAUAUUGUU